GGAAGUAAAAGUCGUAACAAGGUCUCCGUUGGUGAACCAGCGGAGGGAUCAU
rnacentral:rRNA from 87 species